CUGCCUACGGGACGCAGCAGUGAGGAAUAUUGGUCAAUGGGCGAGAGCCUGAACCAGCCAAGUCGCGUGAGGGAGUACUGCCCUAUGGGUUGUAAACCUCUUUUGUCGGGGAGCAAAAGCCGGACGUGUCCGUCUGUGAGAGUACCCGAAGAAAAAGCAUCGGCUAACUCCGUGCCAGCAGCCGCGGUAAUACGGAGGAUGCGAGCGUUAUCCGGAUUUAUUGGGUUUAAAGGGUGCGCAGGCGGAUUUUUAAGUCAGCGGUCAAAUCGCGGGGCUCAACCCCGCCCAGCCGUCGGAACUGCCGG
rnacentral:rRNA from 1 species